rnacentral:rRNA from 1 species
GAUGAACGCUAGCGGCAGGCCUAACACAUGCAAGUCGAGGGGUAGAGUUCUUCGGGACUUGAGACCGGCGCACGGGUGCGUAACGCGUAUGCAAUCUACCUUAUACAGGGGAAUAGCCCAGAGAAAUUUGGAUUAAUGCCCCAUAGUGUUAUCGAAUCGCAUGGUUUGAUAACUAAAGUUCCAACGGUACAAGAUGAGCAUGCGUCCAUUAGUUAGUUGGUAAGGUAACGGCUUACCAAGACAAUGAUGGGUAGGGGUCCUGAGAGGGAGAUCCCCCACACUGGUACUGAGACACGGACCAGACUCCUACGGGAGGCAGCAGUGAGGAAUAUUGGACAAUGGGCGCAAGCCUGAUCCAGCCAUGCCGCGUGCAGGAAUAAGGUCCUAUGGAUUGUAAACUGCUUUUUAAUACAAGGAAGAAACACACCCUCGUGAGGGUACUUGACGGUACUGUAUGAAUAAGGAACCGGCUAACUCCGUGCC